GCUUCUGUGGUGUAGUGGUUAUCACGUCCGCUUUACACGCGGAAGGUCCCCGGUUCGAUACCGGGCAGAAGCA